rnacentral:pre_miRNA from 1 species
GAACACCUCAAUUAUUAGUAGUAAAGUAAUUAUUAUUAGCACACUACUAAUAAUUGUGGUAUCGGU